GACGAACGCUGGCGGCGUGCUUAACACAUGCAAGUCGAACGAUGAUCAGGAGCUUGCUCCUGUGAUUAGUGGCGAACGGGUGAGUAACACGUGAGUAACCUGCCCCUGACUCUGGGAUAAGCGUUGGAAACGACGUCUAAUACUGGAUAUGAUCACUGGCCGCAUGGUCUGGUGGUGGAAAGAUUUUUUGGUUGGGGAUGGACUCGCGGCCUAUCAGCUUGUUGGUGAGGUAAUGGCUCACCAAGGCGACGACGGGUAGCCGGCCUGGGAGGGUGACCGGCCACACUGGGACUGAGACACGGCCCAGACUCCUACGGGAGGCAGCAGUGGGGAAUAUUGCACAAUGGGCGAAAGCCUGAUGCAGCAACGCCGCGUGAGGGAUGACGGCCUUCGGGUUGUAAACCUCUUUUAGUAGGGAAGAAGCGAAAGUGACGGUACCUGCAGAAAAAGCACCGGCUAACUACGUGCCAGCAGCCGCCGUAA
rnacentral:rRNA from 1 species